GAUGAACGCUGGCGGCGUGCCUAAUACAUGCAAGUCGAUCGAAAAGACGAGGAUCUUGCUCCUCUCAAGUUAGCGGCGGACGGGUGAGUAACACGUGAAUAACCUACCUAUAGGACUGAGAUACCGUCGGGAAACCGGAGCUAAUACCAGAUAAGAUAGUGAACCGCAUGGUUCAAUAGAGAAAGACGGUUCUGCUGUCACUUGUAUAUGAUUCCCGGCCGACUGAGCUAGUUGGUAAGGAAACGGCUUACCAAGGCAACGAUGCGUAGGCGACAUGAGAGGGAGAUCGGGCACACUGGAACGGGGGCACGGUCAAGAGUCCUACGAGAGGCAGCAGUAGGGACUAUGGCGCGAAGGGCGAGAGAUUGACGGAGCAACGGCGCGUCAGUGAUGAAGGUCUUCGGAGUGUAAAACGCUGUUAUUAGGGAAGAAAAAAUGUGUAAGUAACUAUGAACGUCUUGACGGUACCUGCUCAGAAAGCAACGGCUAAGUACGUG
rnacentral:rRNA from 1 species